GGGGCUGAUUCUGGAUUCGACGGGAUUUGCAAAACCCAAGGUGCAUGCCGAGGGGCGGUUGGCCUCGUAAAAAGCCGCAAAAAAAUAGUCGCAAACGACGAAACCUACGCUUUAGCAGCUUAAUAACCUGCUUAGAGCCCUCUCUCCCUAGCCUCCGCUCUUAGGACGGGGAUCAAGAGAGGUCAAACCCAAAAGAGAUCGCGCGGAUGCCCUGCCUGGGGUUGAAGCGUUAAAACGAAUCAGGCUAGUCUGGUAGUGGCGUGUCCGUCCGCAGGUGCCAGGCGAAUGUAAAGACUGACUAAGCAUGUAGUACCGAGGAUGUAGGAAUUUCGGACGCGGGUUCAACUCCCGCCAGCUCCACCA
rnacentral:tmRNA from 1 species